rnacentral:rRNA from 1 species
UACGUAGGGUGCAAGCGUUAUCCGGAAUUAUUGGGCGUAAAGAGCUCGUAGGCGGUUUGUCGCGUCUGCUGUGAAAACUGGGGGCUCAACCCCCAGCCUGCAGUGGGUACGGGCAGACUAGAGUGCGGUAGGAGAGAUUGGAAUUCCUGGUGUAGCGGUGGAAUGCGCAGAUAUCAGGAGGAACACCGGUGGCGAAGGCGGGUCUCUGGGCAGUAACUGACGCUGAGGAGCGAAAGCGUGGGGAGCGAACAGG